rnacentral:pre_miRNA from 1 species
CGGUGUGGGUGGGUGCAUGAAUCGUUGUGAAUUAUUGCACUUCCCUAGACUG